GACGAACGCUGGCGGCGUGCUUAACACAUGCAAGUCGAACGGAAAGGCCCUGCUUUUGUGGGGUGCUCGAGUGGCGAACGGGUGAGUAACACGUGAGUAACCUGCCCUUGAUUUUGGGAUAACUUCAGGAAACUGGGGCUAAUACCGGAUAGGAGCUCCCGCUGCAUGGUGGGGGUUGGAAAGUUUCGGCGGUUGGGGAUGGACGCGCGGCUUAUCAGCUUGUUGGUGGGGUAGUGGCUUACCCAGGCUUUGACGGGUAGCCGGCCUGGGAGGGUGACCGGCCACAUGGGGACUGAGAGACGGCCCAGAGGCCUACAGUAGGCAGCAGGGGGGAAUAUUGCACAAUGGGCGGAAGCCUGAUGCAGCAACGCCGCGGGCGGGAUGACGGCCUUCGGGUUGUAAACCGCUUUCGCCUGUGACGAAGCUUGAGUGACGGUAAUGGGUAAAGAAGCACCGGCUAACUACGUG
rnacentral:rRNA from 1 species